CAAAGGUGAGCCAGUACAGGAUGGACCCGCGUCUGAUUAGCUAGUUGGUAAGGUAACGGCUUACCAAGGCGACGAUCAGUAGCCGACCUGAGAGGGUGAUCGGCCACAUUGGAACUGAGACACGGUCCAAACUCCUACGGGAGGCAGCAGUGGGGAAUAUUGCACAAUGGGCGAAAGCCUGAUGCAGCAACGCCGCGUGAGUGAUGAAGGCCUUCGGGUCGUAAAACUCUGUCCUCAAGGAAGAUAAUGACGGUACUUGAGGAGGAAGCCCCGGCUAACUACGUGCCAGCAGCCGCGGUAAUACGUAGGGGGCUAGCGUUAUCCGGAUUUACUGGGCGUAAAGGGUGCGUAGGCGGUCUUUCAAAUCAGGAGUGAAAGGCUACGGCUCAACCGUAGUAAGCUCUUGAAACUGGGAGACUUGAGUGCAGGAGAGGAGAGUGGAAUUCCUAGUGUAGCGGUGAAAUGCGUAGAUAUUAGGAGGAACACCAGUUGCGAAGGCGGCUCUC
rnacentral:rRNA from 1 species